rnacentral:ncRNA from 2 species
ACUAUCUUGGGCCCCGUCGGUUCCGCAGCCCCGAAGCCUGCGGAUUAAAACGGGAAGCCGGUGACGCCCCACGCCAGUCCGGCACUGCCCCGCAGCGGUAAUCGGGAACGCACCCGCCAUGCCUCCAGGAGCGAUCCUGCGGCGCACGGCGGGAGGAAGGCAUCGGCCUUCGCCCGAGAGUCCGCGGCCCUGCCGACAGCCGCGCGAAGCA